rnacentral:rRNA from 1 species
AGAUUGAACGCUGGCGGCAUGCCUAACACAUGCAAGUCGAACGGGAGUAGCAAUACUCUAGUGGCGGACGGGUGAGGAAUACGUAGGAAUUUGCCCUUAAGUGGGGGAUAACCCAGGGAAACCCGGAUUAAUACCGCAUGACCUCGAAAGAGCAAAGUGGGGGAUCGCAAGACCUCACGCUUUUGGAGAAGCCUACGUCGGAUUAGCUAGUUGGUGAGGUAAUGGCUCACCAAGGCUACGAUCAGUA